GAGAGAUAACAGGUUGUGCAGGACAACAAUAGCUGUGACAUCAUAAUCAGAUCACGCCAUGACCUCAGCCAGUCCUGACUCAUGCCCUGCACCACGUGGACCAUGAAAUCUGGAGUAAAGCCAACGUGCAGGGUUCACACAAAUGCAGUUACAGAGGAACAUAACUAUGAAAAAUGUACAGCACUUUAAUGUGAAGCAGGUUGAAGAAUCUUACAGCUUGGUUUCUUGAUGCUAAUAACUCGGGACAGAAAGAUUUUGGGGCUAAACUGUUACAUUCCAUUCUCCCUGUGCACCUGUAUCUGAAAUAUAUUGACAAUAUUGCUACUUUUAAAAAAAAGUAUUAAAAUGUAGCCUUUAAAAAAAAAUUAACCCAGAAAUAUUUCAUGGUCUACCUGCUCAUAUCAUUUCAAAACAGUAUCACACCAAAAGGAGUUUGCUCAAGUCAUUCCUACUAAGAUAAACAUGGACACCCAAAAUGUAGGCAGUGUACACAGAGGUGUACCCUGUCACACCACUGACUGGCUUUCAUGCAUACAGUUACAAAGAU